rnacentral:lncRNA from 1 species
UUGUGCUUAUCAAACAGCACCAUCAUCUCCACUUGGUCCCCGUUACCAAAAACUAAAUGAGUUGUUGUUGUGCUUACGGGUUAAUACCAUCAAUGAAGCAUCACUAUGAUUGCUGAAGCUUUUGCGAUAGAGAAUCCUCGUUGAUUAGAGACGAUGUCUCCCCCGGAUCCUUCAUCACUCCUCCAUUUGUGGCCCCCUUAGGCUAAGGUGAUUUAUUGAAUGUUUCUAUCUUUUUUUGGAUUUCUUUGAGGUUUUGUUCAAUUAGCCAACCCUAUUGAGAUCAAUGAGGUUGAGUUGGUGGAGGGGCUUCCCAACAAGGCUUUGAAUCAUGAUAUGCAUGAUUUACUUCUCCUUAUUGUCUUUGUGUUU